rnacentral:rRNA from 1 species
CCUACGGGAGGCAGCAGUAGGGAAUCUUUCACAAUGGGCGAAAGCCUGAUGGAGCAACGCCGCGUGCAGGAUGAAGGCCUUCGGGUUGUAAACUGCUUUUAUAAGCGAGAAAUAUGAUGGUAACUUAUGAAUAAGGAUCGGCUAACUACGUGCCAGCAGCCGCGGUCAUACGUAGGAUCCGAGCAUUAUCCGGAGUGACUGGGUGUAAAGAGUUGCGUAGGUGGCAUAAUAAGUAGCUAGUGAAAUCUGGUGGCUCAACCAUUCAGACUAUUAGCUAAACUGUUAAGCUCGAGACCGUUAGGGGUAACUGGAAUUUCUAGUGUAGGAGUGAAAUCCGUUGAUAUUAGAAGGAACACCAAUAGCGUAGGCAGGUUGCUGGGACGGUUCUGACACUAAGGCACGAAAGCGUAGGGAGCAAACGGGAUUAGAUACCCCAGUAGUC